rnacentral:rRNA from 1 species
UCCGUAGGCGGUUUAGUAAGUCAGUGGUGAAAGCCCAUCGCUCAACGGUGGAACGGCCAUUGAUACUGCUAGACUUGAAUUAUUAGGAAGUAUCUAGAAUAUGUAGUGUAGCGGUGAAAUGCAUAGAUAUUACAUGGAAUACCAAUUGCGAAGGCAAGGUACUACCAACAGAUUGACGCUGAUGGACGAAAGCGUGGGGAGCAAACAGGAUUAGAUACCCCAGUA